AUUGAACGCUGGCGGCAUGCUUUACACAUGCAAGUCGAACGGCAGCAUGGAGAGCUUGCUCUCUGAUGGCGAGUGGCGAACGGGUGAGUAAUGCAUCGGAACGUACCGUGUAAUGGGGGAUAACGUAGCGAAAGUUACGCUAAUACCGCAUACGACCUGAGGGUGAAAGCAGGGGAUCGCAAGACCUUGCGUUAUACGAGUGGCCGAUGUCAGAUUAGCUAGUUGGUGAGGUAAAGGCUCACCAAGGCGACGAUCUGUAGCGGGUCUGAGAGGAGUAGCCGCCACACUGGGACUGAGACACGGCCCAGACUCCUACGGGAGGCAGCAGUGGGGAAUUUUGGGCAAUGGGGGCAACCCUGAUCCAGCCAUGCCGCGUGAGUGGAGAAGGCCUUCGGGUUGUAAAGCUCUUUCGGCCGGGAGGAAAUCGCACAGGCUAAUACUCUGUGUGGAUGACGGUACCGGCAUAAGAAGCACCGGCUAACUACGUGCCAGCCGCCGCCGUAAAAC
rnacentral:rRNA from 1 species